CCUACGGGUGGCUGCAGUGGGGAAUAUUGGACAAUGGGGGGAACCCUGAUCCAGCCAUGCCGCGUGUGUGAAGAAGGCCCUCGGGUUGUAAAGCACUUUCAGUGAGGAAGAACGCCUGGUGGUUAAUACCCAUCAGGAAAGACAUCACUCACAGAAGAAGCACCGGCUAACUCCGUGCCAGCAGCCGCGGUAAUACGGAGGGUGCGAGCGUUAAUCGGAAUUACUGGGCGUAAAGCGCGCGUAGGUGGCUUGAUAAGCCGGUUGUGAAAGCCCCGGGCUCAACCCGGGAACGGCAUCCGGAACUGUCAAGCUAGAGUGCAGGAGAGGAAGGUAGAAUUCCCGGUGUAGCGGUGAAAUGCGUAGAGAUCGGGAGGAAUACCAGUGGCGAAGGCGGCCUUCUGGACUGACACUGACACUGAGGUGCGAAAGCGUGGGUAGCAAACAGGAUUAGAUACCCUAGUAGUC
rnacentral:rRNA from 1 species